CUAGUGUUGAAAAUCACAGAAAAUAUGGUGAGGCCCCUCUGCCAUUCUUUUCCUUCCUUUUGUAUUAACCCUAGGAUGAAAUGUUUAGGAAUGCAGUAGGAGAGACAAACUAGCCAGGAAAUCAAUAUGCAAAAAAUAAGGUCUUAAAUGUUUUCUUGCUGUUCUUUAAAUAUAAAACAAAACAUCAUGAGUAAGUAAAGAAACAAGGCUAUUUCUCCCUGACACAGCCUGGGCCUCACUGCUCUGCAUUCUGACCACAAGACAGAGAUGCAUCGAAAAGUCAGCCCAACAGAAGGAGGUAGACUGAAUGAACAACUGAAGGGCACUGAGUUCUGUGACAGAAGCUUUCAACACUACAUAACACCAUCAAUUAAUUCCAUAUAGCCAACUCAGAAAUUCUGAGCAAAACAAAUCUUGAACUCUUUAAGUAAAAGAAUUGAACGAUAAAAGCUAUAGUGGCAAAAUAAAAAUUGUCUACCAAAGGUGUAACAAUUGCCAUUGGAUAAUGCCUCCACCUACUUAGAUCUCCACACUUUAGGUCUCAGCAUCUGAGGGCUGCUAACACUUGAUACCUGGGGACACGGAGCAGAAGAAAAGGAGGUCAUCACUGAGAACUCCCCUCCUUCACACAAACAUGCACUGGGAGAGGGUGGGGAUCCUGGAAGAUGAAUGAUUUUGCAAACAAAGAGACAAGUCCCUCCACAGUAGAAUUCUGAAGUUCUCAGGAUGUGGUUAGCCAGCCCUCACGGGUGAGGCCCAGAGAGGUUGGGUUGAGGACACUGUCAUUCCAGAGGAAAAGUGCUACUGGAGGUGAUAACCACCUUGUGAGUGAGGUGGUGCUGGAAAGACAAACAAUUAAUUACCUUGGAAUUAGAAUCUUCAGACCUACAUGCACCAGAAAAAGAAGCAGGGUUCCUGGUGGGGAUAUUGGCACAGCCAGUGCAAGACUAUAAAAGUGAAAGGGAAGUCUCUCAGUCAUGUCUGACUCUUUGCAAUCCCAAGCACUGUAGGCCUACUAG
rnacentral:lncRNA from 1 species